rnacentral:rRNA from 1 species
UGGGGAAUUUUGGACAAUGGGCGCAAGCCUGAUCCAGCCAUGCCGCGUGCGGGAAGAAGGCCUUCGGGUUGUAAACCGCUUUCGGCCGGAACGAAAUCGCCCGGGUGAACAUCCCGGGUGGAUGACGGUACCGGAAGAAGAAGCACCGGCUAACUACGUGCCAGCAGCCGCGGUAAUACGUAGGGUGCGAGCGUUAAUCGGAAUUACUGGGCGUAAAGCGUGCGCAGGCGGUCUCGUAAGACAGGUGUGAAAUCCCCGGGCUCAACCUGGGAACUGCGCUUGUGACUGCGAGGCUGGAGUGUGGCAGAGGGAGGUGGAAUUCCACGUGUAGCAGUGAAAUGCGUAGAGAUGUGGAGGAACACCGAUGGCGAAGGCAGCCUCCUGGGCCAGCACUGUCGCUCAUGCACGAAAGCGUGGGGAGCAAACAGG